CCCUUCUCAGGGUCACAGCUGGAGAGUUUCCAGCACUCUACCAGUUCCGGCUAAGGGAGGGAGAGUUGAGCAGAGGAACCCAUUCCAUUCUUAGCUUGGGCAGUGGCUAGCAAGUGGAAGGCAAUCUGCUACAAGU